rfam:Schistosoma rodhaini strain Burundi genome assembly, scaffold: SROB_scaffold0001249
AUCAAGCUGACGACUUCCAAACAGGACGAAACGCGCAUCCUGGAU